GUGAAUCAUCGAAUUUUUGAACGCAAAUUGCACUCUCUUCGGAGAGUAUGCCUGUUUGAGGGUCAGUAUUAAUAAAAAUCGGUGUGUUGCUUCUUUUUGACGCUCCGGAGUUUGGUUCAUCUUAAUAUCCUUUAGGUUUUAAGAGGCUUAAAAUUGACUUUUUUUGCGCAUUUUGUGGUUCAUUAAUUUUUUUUUUAAUCGUAUUGCUUAAAUCUC
rnacentral:misc_RNA from 1 species